rnacentral:snRNA from 1 species
AUACUCUGAUUUCUCUUGAGGUUGUAUAAAUCGUUCACCUUUUACCAAAGAUUUCUGUGGAGAGGAAUACCUUGACAGACAAGUGUAUGUCUGCAUUUGUCCUCUUCUUGGUGACCCCACCACUUUUGGGGAG